GACAUCCAGAGAACUUGGCAGAGAUGCCCUGGUGCCUUCGGGAACUCUGAGACAGGUGCUGCAUGGCUGUCGUCAGCUCGUGUUGUGAAAUGUUGGGUUAACGUCCGCAACGAGCGCAACCCCUAUCCUUUGUUGCCAGCGAUUCGGUCGGGAACUCAAAGGAGACUGCCGGUGAUAAACCGGAGGAAGGUGGGGAUGACGUCAAGUCAUCAUGGCCCUUACGAGUAGGGCUACACACGUGCUACAAUGGCGCAUACAAAGAGAAGCGACCUCGCGAGAGCAAGCGGACCUCAUAAAGUGCGUCGUAGUCCGGAUCGGAGUCUGCAACUCGACUCCGUGAAGUCGGAAUCGCUAGUAAUCGUAGAUCAGAAUGCUACGGUGAAUACGUUCCCGGGCCUUGUACACACCGCCCGUCACACCAUGGGAGUGGGUUGCAAAAGAAGUAGAUAGCUUAACCUUCGGGAGGGCGUUUACCACUUUGUGAUUCAUGACUGGGGUGAAGUCGUAACAAGGUAGGCGUAGACGU
rnacentral:rRNA from 1 species